rnacentral:rRNA from 1 species
GAUGAACGCUAGCUACAGGCUUAACACAUGCAAGUCGAGGGGCAGCGCAGUGUAGCAAUACAUGGGCGGCGACCGGCGCACGGGUGCGUAACGCGUAUCCAACCUUCCCGAUACUCAGGGAUAGCCUUCCGAAAGGGAGAUUAAUACCUGAUGGUGUUGAAAUUCCGCAUGUUAUUUCAACUAAAGAUUUAUCGGUAACGGAUGGGGAUGCGUGACAUUAGGUAGAUGGCGGGGUAACGGCCCACCAUGGCAACGAUGUCUAGGGGUUCUGAGAGGAAGGUCCCCCACACUGGAACUGAGACACGGCCCAGACUCCUACGGGAGGCAGCAGUGGGGAAUAUUGCACAAUGGGGGGAAACCCUGAUGCAGCCAAGUAGCGUGAAGGAUGAAGGUUCUAUGGAUUGUAAACUUCUUUAUACGGGAAUAAACCUCCCACGUGUGGGAGCUUGUAUGUACCGUAUGAAUAAGCAUCGGCUAACUCCGUG